rnacentral:lncRNA from 1 species
AAAAAAAAAAAGAAAUAAAGGUUGGCAGCCGCACAUUCCCUCACACUCCUCCUCCUUUCGUUGUCUUUCCGGUGACCGGAGCCACACUUCCGGCGACUUCCGACACCCCUCUCUUUCAGGCGAACCAUACUCACAUCACACCACCACACCCUCGUUCUUUCUCUACCGUUUCGUCAAGCAACAUCAACGACAACGCAGAACUCCGGUGACGGUUAUCCUCCAGUGAUGAUGGUGAAGACGUUGGUGGCCGACGGCAGCCGAAACCACAACUAUAGACGAGGUGGUGGUCUUGGUUCGACUCUGCGUUGGCUCGGAUCAGAUCUCGGAGCAGGAUGAAAAAAAAAAACGCAACCUCACACGUCCACCUAUUUCACGUUUUCUCCGGUAGUUAGGUAUCUUGGAAUUGGGAAGCUUGCUAUCUGGGAGUGCUGGAGUGGUCAUGGAUCGAGGCUCUUGGAUUAAAAUACAUUUAAUACAUUGGUUUUAAGUGUUAUUACGAAACAAUUGCGCAACAACUUAUUACAUGCUUCCGCUACACAACUUUUGAGAAUUAAUAUUAUGUUGGCAACUUAUUUUGUUAAAAUAGU